GAUGAACGCUGACAGAAUGCUUAACACAUGCAAGUCAACUUGAAUUUGGGUUUUUAACUUCGGUUUGGGUGGCGGACGGGUGAGUAACGCGUAAAGAACUUGCCUCACAGCUAGGGACAACAUUUGGAAACGAAUGCUAAUACCUAAUAUUAUGAUAAUAGGGCAUCCUAUAAUUAUGAAAGCUAUAAGCGCUGUGAGAGAGCUUUGCGUCCCAUUAGCUAGUUGGAGAGGUAACGGCUCACCAAGGCGAUGAUGGGUAGCCGGCCUGAGAGGGUGAUCGGCCACAAGGGGACUGAGACACGGCCCUUACGCCUACGGGAGGAAGCAGUGGGGAAUAUUGGACAAUGGACCGAGAGUCUGAUCAAGCAAUUCUGUGUGCACGAUGAAGUUUUUCGGAAUGUAAAGUGCUUUCAGUUGGGAAGAAACAAAUGACGGUACCAACAGAAGAAGUGACGGCUAAAUACGUG
rnacentral:rRNA from 1 species